UACGAAGGGGGCUAGCGUUGCUCGGAAUGACUGGGCGUAAAGGGCGUGUAGGCGGUCCGCUAAGUCUGAUGUGAAAGCCCGGGGCUCACCCCCGGAAGGGCAUUGGAAACUGACGGACUCGAGUCCCGAAGAGGAGGGUGGAAUUCCUGGUGUAGCGGUGAAAUGCGUAGAUAUCAGGAGGAACACCGGUGGCGAAGGCGGCCCUCUGGACGGUGACUGACGCUGAGACGCGAAAGCGUGGGGAGCAAACAGG
rnacentral:rRNA from 1 species